GCCUGGAUGGCGGAACCGGUAUACGCGCAGGUCUCAAAAACCUGUGGAGGCAACUCCUUGUGGGUUCGAUUCCCACUCCAGGCAC
rnacentral:tRNA from 1 species